UACGGAGGGUGCAAACGUUGCUCGGAAUCAUUGGGCGUAAAGCGCACGUAGGCGGCUUGUUAAGUCGGAUGUGAAAGCCCUGGGCUCAACCCAGGAGGUGCAUUCGAAACUGGCGAGCUUGAAUAUGGAAGAGGGUCGCGGAAUUCCCGGUGUAGAGGUGAAAUUCGUAGAUAUCGGGAGGAACACCAGUGGCGAAGGCGGCGACCUGGGCCAAUAUUGACGCUGAGGUGCGAAAGCGUGGGGAGCAAACAGG
rnacentral:rRNA from 1 species